rnacentral:sRNA from 7 species
AUAUCUCUCUGUACGGGAAGGAUGAGAAGCUUCGACUAAGGUUCGAUUCGAGCGCAGCGAGAAAGCGUUGCCGCAGGCAACGACCCGAAGGGCGAAGCGCGUAGCGCUGAGUCAUCCUUCCCCCACCACCA